UACGGAGGGAGCUAGCGUUGUUCGGAAUUACUGGGCGUAAAGCGCACGUAGGCGGCUUUGUAAGUUAGAGGUGAAAGCCCGGGGCUCAACUCCGGAACUGCCUUUAAGACUGCAUCGCUUGAAUCCAGGAGAGGUGAGUGGAAUUCCGAGUGUAGAGGUGAAAUUCGUAGAUAUUCGGAAGAACACCAGUGGCGAAGGCGGCCAACUGGACCAUAACUGACGCUGAGGUGCGAAAGCGUGGGGAGCAAACAGG
rnacentral:rRNA from 1 species